UACGAAGGGGGGCUAGCGUUGUUCGGAUUUACUGGGCGUAAAGCGCACGUAGGCGGAUCUUUAAGUCAGAGGUGAAAUCCCAAGGCUCAACCUUGGAACUGCCUUUGAUACUGGGGAUCUCGAGUCCGGGGAGAGGUGAGUGGAACUGCGAGUGUAGAGGUGAAAUUCGUAGAUAUUCGCAAGAACACCAGUGGCGAAGGCGGCUCACUGGCCCGGUACUGACGCUGAGGUGCGAAAGCGUGGGGAGCAAACAGG
rnacentral:rRNA from 1 species